UGAUGAUGUGAUGAAGAUGAUGGUGAUGAUGAUGUGAUGAUGAAGAUGAUGGUGAUGGUGAUGAUGUGAUGAUGAAGAUGAUGGUGGUGAUGAUGUGAUGAUGAAGAUGUGAUGAUGAUGAUGGUGAUGAUUAGACAAUUAGACGGUUUUUUAAUUGCUUCUCAUUGUCACUAUAGAAACGAUAAUGUGUUGGAAGGAGCGCGUUAAUGUGAGCCUGCGCCGCUGCCGGAGCUGCUGUUAUCUGUCCAAUCAGAAUCCAGAAUUGAACAGCACGGUUGUAUAAACAGCUUCGGAAAGACGCGAUGAUUAAAAAUAACGCUCCGUACGCGCUGCAGCUGCUCGCGUCUGUGCAAGCCGUCAGUUUGGGUUUUGCUCCAAAUUCGACGUUAACAAAAACAAGCCGUACGCCUUUAGAGCGGCGUUCUGCAGGAAUAAACGCAACCCCACUGUGCGACAGGAACAGGAUCAUUUGUCAGAGAAUAAAAAAGCUGCAGUUCUGUAAAAUCUUUGGGGUUUUUCUCACUUGGCUCCGGAGGCUGUGGACGCGUUUGGAAGGAAAGACUUCGCACCUGGUGCUGUCUGACUUCAUCUCAGCUUUUUACACUAACGCAUGAGCUCACGGACACCUGACACCACCGCUAUCACGAGGAGAGGAGGAGAGGAGAGGAGAGGAGGAAAAGACAAGAGAAGAGAGGAGGAAAAGACAUGAGAGGAGAGGAGAAGAGAGGAGAGGAGAAGAGGAGAGGAGGGGAGACGAGAGAAGAGAAGAGAGGAGAAGAGAGGAGAAGAGAGGAGAAGAGAGGAGCAGAGAAGAGAGGAGAGGAGAGGAGAGGAGAUGAGAAGAGAG
ensembl:lncRNA